rnacentral:rRNA from 1 species
AUUGAACGCUGGCGGCAGGCCUAACACAUGCAAGUCGAACGAGUGGCGGACGGGUGAGUAAUGUCUGGGAAACUGCCUGCUGGAGGGGGAUAACUACUGGAAACGGUAGCUAAUACCGCAUACCAUCGGAUGUGCCCAGAUGGGAUUGGCUAGUGGGUGGGGUAACGGCUCACCUCGGCGACGAUCCCUAGCUGGGCUGAGAGGAUGACCAGCCAGACCGGAACCGAGGGACGGGCCAGACGCCUACGUGAGGCAUCGGUGGGGAAUAUUGCGCAAUGGGCGCAAGCCUGGUGCAGCCAUGCCGCGUGUAUGAAGAAGGCCUUCGGGUUGUAAAGUACUUUCAGCGGGGAGGCGUUACCCGCAGAAGAAGCACCGGCUAACUCCGUGCCAGCAGCCGCGGUAAUAC